rnacentral:sRNA from 1 species
UCAAGCUCAACACAGGAAAUUUCAAUAAU